AGAGUUUGAUCAUGGCUCAGAUUGAACGCUGGCGGCAGGCCUAACACAUGCAAGUCGAGCGGUAGCACAGAGAGCUUGCUCUCGGGUGACGAGCGGCGGACGGGUGAGUAAUGUCUGGGAAACUGCCUGAUGGAGGGGGAUAACUACUGGAAACGGUAGCUAAUACCGCAUAAUGUCGCAAGACCAAAGUGGGGGGCCUUCGGGCCUCAUGCCAUCAGAUGUGCCCAGAUGGGAUUAGCUAGUAGGUGGGGUAACGGCUCACCUAGGCGACGAUCCCUAGCUGGUCUGAGAGGAUGACCAGCCACACUGGAACUGAGACACGGUCCAGACUCCUACGGGAGGCAGCAGUGGGGAAUAUUGCACAAUGGGCGCAAGCCUGAUGCAGCCAUGCCGCGUGUGUGAAGAAGGCCUUCGGGUUGUAAAGCACUUUCAGCGGGGAGGAAGGCGGUGAGGUUAAUAACCUCACCGAUUGACGUUACCCGCAGAAGAAGCACCGGCUAACUCCGUGCCAGCAGCCGCGGUAAUACGGAGGGUGCAAGCGUUAAUCGGAAUUACUGGGCGUAAAGCGCACGCAGGCGGUCUGUCAAGUCGGAUGUGAAAUCCCCGGGCUCAACCUGGGAACUGCAUUCGAAACUGGCAGGCUAGAGUCUUGUAGAGGGGGGUAGAAUUCCAGGUGUAGCGGUGAAAUGCGUAGAGAUCUGGAGGAAUACCGGUGGCGAAGGCGGCCCCCUGGACAAAGACUGACGCUCAGGUGCGAAAGCGUGGGGAGCAAACAGGAUUAGAUACCCUGGUAGUCCACGCUGUAAACGAUGUCGAUUUGGAGGUUGUGCCCUUGAGGCGUGGCUUCCGGAGCUAACGCGUUAAAUCGACCGCCUGGGGAGUACGGCCGCAAGGUUAAAACUCAAAUGAAUUGACGGGGGCCCGCACAAGCGGUGGAGCAUGUGGUUUAAUUCGAUGCAACGCGAAGAACCUUACCUGGUCUUGACAUCCACAGAACUUUCCAGAGAUGGAUUGGUGCCUUCGGGAACUGUGAGACAGGUGCUGCAUGGCUGUCGUCAGCUCGUGUUGUGAAAUGUUGGGUUAAGUCCCGCAACGAGCGCAACCCUUAUCCUUUGUUGCCAGCGGUUCGGCCGGGAACUCAAAGGAGACUGCCAGUGAUAAACUGGAGGAAGGUGGGGAUGACGUCAAGUCAUCAUGGCCCUUACGACCAGGGCUACACACGUGCUACAAUGGCAUAUACAAAGAGAAGCGACCUCGCGAGAGCAAGCGGACCUCAUAAAGUAUGUCGUAGUCCGGAUUGGAGUCUGCAACUCGACUCCAUGAAGUCGGAAUCGCUAGUAAUCGUAGAUCAGAAUGCUACGGUGAAUACGUUCCCGGGCCUUGUACACACCGCCCGUCACACCAUGGGAGUGGGUUGCAAAAGAAGUAGGUAGCUUAACCUUCGGGAGGGCGCUUACCACUUUGUGAUUCAUGACUGGGGUGAAGUCGUAACAAGGUAACCGUAGGGGAACCUGCGGUUG
rnacentral:rRNA from 1 species